rnacentral:rRNA from 1 species
GACGAACGCUGGCGGCGUGCUUAACACAUGCAAGUCGAACGGAAAGGCCCUGCUUUUGUGGGGUGCUCGAGUGCGAACGGGUGAGUAACACGUGAGUAACCUGCCCUUGACUUUGGGAUAACUUCAGGAAGCUGGGGCUAAUACCGGAUAGGAGCUCCUGCUGCAUGGUGGGGGUUGGAAAGUUUCGGCGGUUGGGGAUGGACUCGCGGCUUAUCAGCUUGUUGGUGGGGUAGUGGCUUACCAAGGCUUUGACGGGUAGCCGGCCUGAGAGGGUGACCGGCCACAUUGGGACUGAGAUACGGCCCAGACUCCUACGGGAGGCAGCAGUGGGGAAUAUUGCACAAUGGGCGGAAGCCUGAUGCAGCAACGCCGCGUGCGGGAUGACGGCCUUCGGGUUGUAAACCGCUUUCGCCUGUGACGAAGCGUGAGUGACGGUAAUGGGUAAAGAAGCACCGGCUAACUACGUG